rnacentral:lncRNA from 1 species
UCUACCUCUCUCUGCCUCUCUGUCUAUGUCUCUGUCUCUCUCUCCUUUUCUCUCCUUGCUGCAAUGAGAAGACACAGCAAGAAGACUUCUGUCUGCAAGCAAGGAAGAAGGCUCUCACCAGGAACCGAAUUGGUUAACACCUAAUUAUCUUGGACUUCCCAGCCUUUAGAACUAAAGACAACUGAAUAAAUUUGGUAGCAGAAUAGGAAGGAACAAAUACAUGAGCGUACUCGGAAUGAGAGAAGACAGCAGCAGUAAUGAAAUUUUUAGCAGCACAUGCCCACACCGUGGCCCCUUCCUGAUUCCUGUAAUGUACAUGUGGAAUCGACUGUGUAGAAGAGAAACUUCAGAGAUGCAUUGGUGUCAAUCAGGCACAUCCCUGGACCAGACUAUAUAUCCAAUUAAAGAUGUAUUGAGGACUAUCUCUCACACAUAUUGCCUGGCUAUGGGCCCUACCUUUGAGGAUGUGAUGUCUUUGGUGCCACAGACAUGCAUAAUCAGUGGACACAGAGAAAGCAUGAGUGAUUCAAAUGGACAUGGAAACAAGAACUGGAAAUUGGACGUCUGGUAUUCUCAUGGAUGGCUUGCAGGACUUCCUUAUGGGAUUUGGGUACGAAGGUCCCCCUCCACCGUCACCCAAGCUUUAUCGCCUCUGUCCUAGAUUAUUGCUUCUAGCAUUGAAGGGACAGUGAUAUGUAAAAUAUCCAGGACAAAGGAAACGGAAGAUACAGGUGAAAGUGAGUGAGGAAGCAGAGAAGGCAGAUCUUAGAAGCAGGGCCGACCACUACCACCAGCCCAACUGGAUAUACUGUCGAGAUUUAAAUAUGGCAGCUACAUAAUUAUGACUACUACAGUUUUUCUCCAUACUUCAGAAUGCAUUGAAGCCUCUUUCAUAUUAGGAAAUGUCAUCACAAAUCUUGUACAAAACUGAUUACAUUACGUGAAUGAAAAUAACUAUGAUAAGGUGAAUUAAACAAUUUAAAUAUUAGAAAUGAUCAUGUAGUCCCGAAGCAGUGUGAAGAGAAUGUCGGAAGAUUACUGAGAAGUGCAAGGUUGGGAGGAGACACACUAAUCUUCCUACAAGUAAGACUUCUAGUCAUGAAAACCCUGUUGGAACAUCUGAAACGCUUUAUGUACAAGGACCUGUCUUAGAGGAAGAAGCUGAUGAGGAACUUCUCAGUUUUUCUGGGCUCACCAGGUCUCCUCAGGUUCAAUGACCUUACCGACCAGUCAAGGGUCCUUAGAUCUCAUCCAAGUCAUCUGGCUGGUAUUUCCUUAGGGAAAAGAGGGGCUGAAGAUGCUGUACAAAGCUUAAUUUCUGCACCUCGUCCUUAAAUGCAGCACUGACUCCCCUGAGCUGGAGGUGGGCAAAAGACCCAAGUCAAACCUGUUACAUCACACACCCACCUAGUAGCCAGAGUGAAGGAUCCAAGAAGGCAUAAGACACAGUAGAGCCCAUCAGAGACCAUCCUGGGAAGCUGUUUUUUAACUAGAGACAAUACAAAUGUUAUUUUUUAGUAGACCUUUACUAAAAGAUGCUUUUAGUCAAAAAUAACAUCACAGGGCAAGUCUGUUUGAGAGAAUGAUGCUGCCACACAGCCAGAAAAGAAGGAAGGCAUCUCUGCUUUCAGUUUCAGAAUUUUCCAGAACUGUAACCAAAGCAUAGCUAUUUAGUUGUUUCUUCGAUUUUGGUGAGCUGUGCAGGAAUCAUUUCAAUAAAUUCCCCUUUUUGUUUAAUCUUGUUUGAAAAGUUUUCUUUUUCAUUUGUGUCCCAAAGUAUCCUGG